UGUCAUAAGGAAACUUUGAUCCAUAUAUUUUAAUUGGGCACUUUAUAUAUGGUGAGUUAGUAGUGCAACCGACCUUUAUAUUU
rnacentral:ncRNA from 25 species